CUUAUCACCCUCACGAUUUUUCAAUCCAUUGACUUCAUAAUUAUCUUAAUUAAGGGAUAUAAUACAAUUAUCUAUGGAAGAAGUUCACUCUAAUUCCGUAUAUAUUUAUAUAUAUCAAAAUCUUUAUCUUAUGUACUAACUAAACUAAACUCUAAAUAUAAAUAAAAAUUAAUUAAAGUUCUAAUUCUUCUCCAACUCAAUCAAUUAUCUCCUCGCAACUAACCUCAAAGCCAUCCUUCCGCACCAUCGCAUACAACCUCGCCGCCACUGUGAGCCUCCGGUCCGCCGCGCUUCACCGUUGCUCUUAGUCUUUUUUCCGGUCGCCGCCUCCCCUCUUCGAAGGCCGGUUGAGGUCACCCGACAAGUUAAACACUUCGAAGAGAACCAUUCCGUUCGAUUUCUCGCUUAAUUAGUCGGGCAGAGAAGCUUGAAGGUGAUCUAUCAAGGUCGCCGCCGUCGACUGGAAUUUCAUAAUUUCCUCCGCACAUGGAGAGAUACAAGAUGAGAUGUCGAUACAAAUUCCUGAGGAAGAUCAAGAUGCAGAGUUAAAGUUGAAUGAUGACCAACGGAAAGCAUUUUCUAUGAUUUUGAGUUCCAUACAGAAAGCAGAAGGUGGGAUUUUUUUC